UGGGGAAUAUUGCGCAAUGGGGGGAACCCUGACGCAGCCAUGCCGCGUGAAUGAAGAAGGCCUUAGGGUUGUAAAGUUCUUUCGGUAUUGAGGAAGGUUGAUGUGUUAAUAGCACAUCAAAUUGACGUUAAAUACAGAAGAAGCACCGGCUAACUCCGUGCCAGCAGCCGCGGUAAUACGGAGGGUGCGAGCGUUAAUCGGAAUAACUGGGCGUAAAGGGCACGCAGGCGGUUAUUUAAGUGAGGUGUGAAAGCCCCGGGCUUAACCUGGGAAUUGCAUUUCAGACUGGGUAACUAGAGUACUUUAGGGAGGGGUAGAAUUCCACGUGUAGCGGUGAAAUGCGUAGAGAUGUGGAGGAAUACCGAAGGCGAAGGCAGCCCCUUGGGAAUGUACUGACGCUCAUGUGCGAAAGCGUGGGGAGCAAACAGGAUUAGAUACCCUGGUAGUCCACGCUGUAAACGCUGUCGAUUUGGGGGUUGGGGUUUAACUCUGGCGCCCGUAGCCAACGUGAUAAAUCGACCGCCUGGGGAGUACGGCCGCAAGGUUA
rnacentral:rRNA from 1 species